GCCAAUGCUAGCCCUAAGCACAACCAACACUAAUACCAAGCCAACACACACUAAACCAUUUACCUACACAAAGUAUAGGCGAUAGAAAUUUUAAUCUGGCGCUAUAGACACAGUACCGUAAGGGAAAGAUAGAAAACCACCCAAGCACAAAACAGCAAGGACUAACCCCUGUACCUUUCGCAUAAUGAAUUAGCUAGAAACAAUUUCACAAAGAGGACUACAAGCCAAAUCCCCCGAAACCAGACGAGCUACCCAAAAACAGCUAAAAGAGCGCACCCAUCUAUGUGGCAAAAUAGUGGGAAGAUUUCUGGGUAGAGGUGAAAAGCCUACCGAGCCUGGUGAUAGCUGGUUAUCCAAGACAGAAUCUUAGUUCAACCUUAAGCUUACCUAUAGAACUACCUAAUCCCCCUGUAAGCUUAACUGCUAGUCUAAAGAGGGACAGCUCUUUAGACACUAGGAAAAAACCUUACGGAGAGAGUAAAACCCUCAAUCACCAUAGUUGGCUUAAAAGCAGCCAUCAAUUAAGAAAGCGUUCAAGCUCAACACUAACCACCACAAAAAUACCAAACACAUAACUGAACUCCUCACACCACAUUGGAUUAAUCUAUCACCAUAUAGAAGCAAUAAUGCUAGUAUAAGUAACAUGAAUAUUUUCUCCACCGCAUAAGCCUAAAUCGGACCGAAAGCCUCACCGAUAUCUAACAGCCAGGCAUAACAAGCACAAACAAGCCCAUGCCACCUUCACUGUUAACCCAACACAGGCAUGCCUCAAGGAAAGGUUAAAAAAAGUAAAAGGAACUCGGCAAACUCAAACCCCGCCUGUUUACCAAAAACAUCACCUCUAGCAUUACUAGUAUUAGAGGCACUGCCUGCCCAGUGACACACGUUUAACGGCCGCGGUACCCUGAC
rnacentral:rRNA from 1 species